rnacentral:rRNA from 1 species
UACGUAGGGUGCGAGCGUUGUCCGGAAUUACUGGGCGUAAAGAGCUCGUAGGUGGUUUUGUCGCGUUGUUCGUGAAAACUCACAGCUCAACUGUGGGCGUGCGGGCGAUACGGGCAGACUAGAGUACUGCAGGGGAGACUGGAAUUCCUGGUGUAGCGGUGGAAUGCGCAGAUAUCAGGAGGAACACCGGUGGCGAAGGCGGGUCUCUGGGCAGUAACUGACGCUGAGGAGCGAAAGCGUGGGGAGCGAACAGG